UACAGAGGUCUCAAGCGUUGUUCGGAUUCAUUGGGCGUAAAGGGUGCGUAGGCGGCGCGGUAAGUCGGGUGUGAAAUCUUGGAGCUUAACUCCGAAACUGCAUUCGAUACUGCCGUGCUUGAGGACUGGAGAGGAGACUGGAAUUUACGGUGUAGCGGUGAAAUGCGUAGAUAUCGUAAGGAAGACCAGUGGCGAAGGCGGGUCUCGUGGACAGUUCCUGACGCUGAGGCA
rnacentral:rRNA from 1 species